GCUGUAAAGCACUGAAUGCUGCUGUGCAAAGGGAGCGCUAUUGCUGGUCUUCUUUUUGGAACAGAUUUUCAUUGCUGAUCUCUCAAGUGUGGUGUUAUGCCACAUUGUUGAGUAUUUGAUGGACUAGUCAAGGUUCGUCUAACAAGAGAGAAAGUAGCCUGGUGUUUCGACCUUUGAUUUUCCACAAUGUCUUAUAGAGAGAAAACAAAAAAAAGUCUUGUGGUUCCCUAUAUUACCUCAAUAUUACUUGUAAUGUUUCUUUUUCGUGUAACUUUAUGAUGAACGAAUGUGUGUUCGGUGCUAAUUGCAAGGAAUAAUAUGUCUCGAAUUAUUUUGUUUUUUUCCCUAA